CACAUGCAGUCGAGCGGGCGGUAGCAAUACGUCAGCGGCAGACGGGUGAGUAACGCGUGGGAACGUACCUUUUGGUUCGGAACAACACAGGGAAACUUGUGCUAUACCGGAUAAGCCCUUACGGGGAAAGAUUUAUCGCCGAAAGAUCGGCCCUGCGUCUGAUUAGCUAGUUGGUGUGGUAACGGCGCACCAAGGCGACGAUCAGUAGCUGGUCUGAGAGGAUGAUCAGCCACAUUGGGACUGAGACACGGUCCAAACUCCAUACGGGAGGCAGCAGUGGGGAAUAUUGGACAAUGGGCGCAAGCCUGAUCCAGCCAUGCCGCGUGAGUGAUGAAGGCCCUAGGGUUGUAAAGCUCUUUUGUGCGGGAAGAUAAUGACGGUACCGAAGAAUAAGCCCCGGUAACUUCGUGCCAGCAGCCGGGUAAUACGAAGGGGGCUAGCGUUGCUCGGAAAUACACUGGGCGUAAAGGGUGCGUAGGCGGGU
rnacentral:rRNA from 1 species